AUUGAACGCUGGCGGCAUGCCUUACACAUGCAAGUCGAACGGCAGCGGGGGAGAAGCUUGCUUUUCCUGCCGGCGAGUGGCGAACGGGUGAGUAAUACAUCGGAACGUGCCCUGUAGUGGGGGAUAACUAGUCGAAAGAUUAGCUAAUACCGCAUACGACCGGAGGGUGAAAGUGGGGGACCGUAAGGCCUCAUGCUAUAGGAGCGGCCGAUGUCUGAUUAGCUAGUUGGUGGGGUAAAGGCCUACCAAGGCGACGAUCAGUAGCUGGUCUGAGAGGACGGUCAGCCACACUGGGACUGAGACACGGCCCAGACUCCUACGGGAGGCAGCAGUGGGGAAUUUUGGACAAUGGGCGAAAGCCUGAUCCAGCAAUGCCGCGUGUGUGAAGAAGGCCUUCGGGUUGUAAAGCACUUUUGUCCGGAAAGAAAUGGCCCUGGUUAAUACCUGGGGUCGAUGACGGUACCGGAAGAAUAAGGACCGGCUAACUACGUGCCAGCCGCCGCCGUAA
rnacentral:rRNA from 1 species